GUCUCUGUGGCGCAAUCGGUUACGCGUUCGGCUGUUAACUGAAAGGUUGGUGGUUCAAGAUCACCCAGGGACG
rfam:Danio rerio chromosome 2, GRCz11 reference primary assembly.